AAGGCUGAGACACGACGUCGAGCACCUACGGGUGUGAAGUCAUUGAUGCCAUGCUUCCAGGAAAAGCCUCUAAGCUUCAGAUUGUAAGGAAUCGUACCCCAAACCGACACAGGUGGUCGGGUAGAGAAUACCAAGGCGCUUGAGAGAACUCGGGUGAAGGAACUAGGCAAAAUGGUACCGUAACUUCGGGAGAAGGUACGCUCUUGAUGGUGAAGUCCCUUGCGGAUGGAGCUGACGAGAGUCGCAGAUACCAGGUGGCUGCAACUGUUUAUUAAAAACACAGCACUGUGCAAAAUCGUAAGAUGACGUAUACGGUGUGACGCCUGCCCGGUGCCGGAAGGUUAAUUGAUGGGGUUAGACUUCGGUCGAAGCUCUUGAUCGAAGCCCCGGUAAACGGCGGCCGUAACUAUAACGGUCCUAAGGUAGCGAAAUUCCUUGUCGGGUAAGUUCCGACCUGCACGAAUGGCGUAAUGAUGGCCACGCUGUCUCCACCCGAGACUCAGUGAAAUUGAAAUCGCUGUGAAGAUGCAGUGUACCCGCGGCUAGACGGAAAGACCCCGUGAACCUUUACUACAGCUUGGCACUGAACAUUGACCCUACAUGUGUAGGAUAGGUGGGAGGCUUUGAAGCACGUACGCCAGUAUGUGUGGAGCCGUCCUUGAAAUACCACCCUUGUAGUGUUGAUGUUCUAACGUCGACCCCUUAUCGGGGUUGCGGACAGUGCCUGGUGGGUAGUUUGACUGGGGCGGUCUCCUCCCAAAGAGUAACGGAGGAGCACGAAGGUGGGCUAAUCACGGUUGGACAUCGUGAGGUUAGUGCAAUGGCAUAAGCCCGCUUGACUGCGAGAAUGACAAUUCGAGCAGGUGCGAAAGCAGGUCAUAGUGAUCCGGUGGUUCUGAAUGGAAGGGCCAUCGCUCAACGGAUAAAAGGUACUCCGGGGAUAACAGGCUGAUACCGCCCAAGAGUUCAUAUCGACGGCGGUGUUUGGCACCUCGAUGUCGGCUCAUCACAUCCUGGGGCUGAAGUCGGUCCCAAGGGUAUGGCUGUUCGCCAUUUAAAGUGGUACGCGAGCUGGGUUUAGAACGUCGUGAGACAGUUCGGUCCCUAUCUGCCGUGGGCGUUGGAAGAUUGAAGGGGGCUGCUCCUAGUACGAGAGGACCGGAGUGGACGAACCUCUGGUGUUCGGGUUGUGUCGCCAGACGCAUUGCCCGGUAGCUAAGUUCGGAAUCGAUAACCGCUGAAAGCAUCUAAGCGGGAAGCGAGCCCUGAGAUGAGUCUUCCCUGAUACUUUAAGUAUCCUAAAGGGUUGUCGGAGACUACGACGUUGAUAGGUCAGGUGUGUAAGUGCUGUGAGGCAUUGAGCUAACUGAUACUAAUUGCCCGUGAGGCUUAACCAU
rnacentral:rRNA from 1 species